CCUACAGGACGGUAGAUCUCCAGUUAAAGGGUCAGGCAGCCCUGAGAUAAAUAAAUAAAGAAAGGCUUUGGUCUGCAUGACGAUCAUAAGGGGCUCCUCAUAGACCAGUGGUCUGCAACCCUGGUCCUGGAGAGCUACAGGGUCUGCUGGCUUUGUUUUCACCUUAAAAUCAGUGCCCAGUUGAGACCAAAGACACCAGAACAAAACUUGGGGUGGCUGCCAUAUUUCAUCCUGGAAUUUUGUGGAUUUCCCUCCUUGAAGCAAGGGAAGAGAACGUCAGGAAGAAAGCAUAACAUUCAGAUUUGAAUGCAGCCAUAGUUUCAUAAACCUUUGUGAAUCUACCUCAGAGGCCCCAAACUGAACCAUUCCAAUGGAAUCCUCCCAUUGACCCAUGCUAUGGGGUGAAAGGUCACGCAUGCAUUCAAAUUUUCCAUCACUAUGGGGCAGCACUUUAAAGUUAAACCCAGUAAGCUUUCACAGUUCAACUGCAUCCACAAAAAUAUUAUUUUCAUUUCCAUUGGUUUGUAAAUAUCGUUGAGUGUUAUAUUUUCUUUUAAAAAAUUAAUAAUUGCCGUUUAUUUUCAAAGCAGUCAUACCUCGUCAGUUAUAUUUGAAAAGUUGUGUAAAUGUGACCUUAGAAGUGAAAGAGAAAGUCAGAUGUCUGGUGCAGCCUGUGCGGCAGCCGACUCCGCCAUGUUGUGCCGCAGUGGUUUGCUGUGAGAUAGCGAGGGCCGUUCAGUUCCGCUUUGUUCCGCCUUUCCUCCCUCGCACAACACCUGUCACGUUAUACCCUGCAUGGAAGAGGGUUUGAUUUCCACCAUCAGUCCUUUCUCACCUUCGAUCACAUCUCUGUGUCUGUUACCCUCCCUGCUUUCUUUCUGUACAAACAAACCAAAAUGAUGACCAUUGUUGCAUAAUGGCAUGGUGGCCAAGUGGUAAGGCACUGGUCUCGUAAACCAAAGAUCAUGGGUUUAAUCCCCAUCCAUGCCUGGGUU